rnacentral:rRNA from 1 species
CGAUAUUGGAAGCUUGCUUCCGAUAGGCGUCGACCGGCGCACGGGUGAGUAACGCGUAUCCAACCUGCCCACCACUUGGGGAUAACCUUGCGAAAGUAAGACUAAUACCCAAUGAUAUCUCUAGAAGACAUCUGAAGGAGAUUAAAGAUUUAUCGGUGAUGGAUGGGGAUGCGUCUGAUUAGCUUGUUGGCGGGGUAACGGCCCACCAAGGCUACGAUCAGUAGGGGUUCUGAGAGGAAGGUCCCCCACAUUGGAACUGAGACACGGUCCAAACUCCUACGGGAGGCAGCAGUGAGGAAUAUUGGUCAAUGGGCGAGAGCCUGAACCAGCCAAGUAGCGUGCAGGAUGACGGCCCUAUGGGUUGUAAACUGCUUUUAUAAGGGAAUAAAGUGAGAGUCGUGACUCUUUUUGCAUGUACCUUAUGAAUAAGGACCGGCUAAUUCCGUGCCAGCAGCCGCGGUAAUACGGAAGGUCCGGGCGUUAUCCGGAUUUAUUGGGUUUAAAGGGAGCGUAGGCCGGAGAUUAAGCGUGUUGUGAAAUGUAGAUGCUCAACAUCUGCACUGCAGCGCGAACUGGUUUCCUUGAGUACGCACAAAGUGGGCGGAAUUCGUGGUGUAGCGGUGAAAUGCUUAGAUAUCACGAAGAACUCCGAUUGCGAAGGCAGCUCACUGGAGCGCAACUGACGCUGAAGCUCGAAAGUGCGGGUAUCGAACAGGAUUAGAUACCCUGGUAGUCCGCACGGUAAACGAUGGAUGCCCGCUGUUGGUCUGAAUAGGUCAGCGGCCAAGCGAAAGCAUUAAGCAUCCCACCUGGGGAGUACGCCGGCAACGGUGCAACUCA